rnacentral:rRNA from 1 species
AGAGUUUGAUCCUGGCUCAGGACGAACGCUGGCGGCGUGCUUAACACAUGCAAGUCGGGCGAUGAAGCUCCUUCGGGAGUGGAUUAGCGGCGGACGGGUGAGUAACACGUGGGUAACCUGCCUCAUAGAGGGGAAUAGCCUUUCGAAAGGAAGAUUAAUACCGCAUAAGAUUGUAGUACCGCAUGGUACAGCAAUUAAAGGAGUAAUCCGCUAUGAGAUGGACCCGCGUCGCAUUAGCUAGUUGGUGAGGUAACGGCUCACCAAGGCGACGAUCAGUAGCCGACCUGAGAGGGUGACCGGCCACAUUGGGACUGAGACACGACCCAGACUCCUACGGGAGGCAGCAGUGGGGAAUAUUGCACAAUGGGGGAAACCCUGAUGCAGCAACGCCGCGUGAGUGAUGACGGUCUUCGGAUUGUAAAGCUCUGUCUUUAGGGACGAUAAUGACGGUACCUAAGGAGGAAGCCACGGCUAACUACGUGCCAGCAGCCGCGGUAAUACGUAGGUGGCAAGCGUUGUCCGGAUU